rnacentral:miRNA from 1 species
AAUAUCCUUUUAACAAAUUAUGCGUAUUUAAGGAGAUAGGGCUGCGCAUGCGCAGAACGUAUCUCCUUACCUUUGCACUUUUUGGUAAGAAGAUGUUAACAAAAGUUGUUCGUCAUGAUGAGGGCUACAACUUUGCUUAAUAUCCUUUUAACAAAUUAUGCGUAUUUAAGGAGAUAGGGCUGCGCAUGCGCAGAACGUAUCUCCUUACCUUUGCACUUUUUGGUAAGAAGAUGUU